GCAGUUCUUUCCUUGAUUUCUUCGAGUUUCAUUAAUGUGGCUGAUGUUAAUCUUUCAAGAUCCAUUCCCUUACUUGUCUGAAAGAAUUCUACCAUUGCAUUUAUUGUUCUUGCAUCAUAUUUUAUUUCCACAGGCUGUGAUUCAAUACUAAGACUUUGAUCAGCAGUACUCUCUUCGGGGUUAAUAUUGAACUCUAUCUUCAGUAGAGAAGACCUGCUAUCCCCAAUGGAAGCCACAAGAGAUGGUACAAUGUUUUCUUGUCUCAGGCCUGUAACAUACCAGUUUUCAAGCUUUGCUUCCACCUUAAUGGCUUGUGCUCCUGGGCGUUGUGAUAUUUUUGUACUCAAAUCAAUUAUCUGUACUUUAAGAGUUUCUGCCACAUUCUUGUCUUCUUUAAUUGUAAGAGAAGUGCUUACCAGCUUCAACGUCACAAUAUGGGCAACAUACUGUCUUGGUAAGGAAAGGUGAUAGGAGCUCUCACUAUAGCCAAUAGCAGUAAAAAGCUUAGCCUUCUCUUCUGGUGUCAUUAGUUCAUUGAUAGUUUCAGGAACGAAUGAUUCUUCGUCUUCCUUUUUUUUAGAUUCUCUCCUACCCCAGAAACCACUAAACCAUCCUCCACUUUUUUUUUCAACUUCAGUGGCUUUCUUCUUCAGCACUUUCUGUCCCGAUCUUAUUGUCUCAAGUUGUGCAUGUUGUCUUGCUAGGACUAUAUUGAAGACAUCAAGCUUUUUUUCUAGGUCCUGAAUUUGUCUCUGUGUUUCUUCUGACAGUUUGCCCAGUGUCAGUUUGCUCCUGUAUAUGGUUCUGUAAGUCUUCACAAGCUGCCUAUGUUGUUUUAUGGUACUCCAUGACCACAUACGAGUACAUCUUUUGAUGUGAACUUCCAGAACACUGUCACCCGCAUACUUCCACCUACAAUAAAUCCACACGUGAAUAAUUUCACAUUUCAUUUUGUGCCCUGCAACUUAGAAACUGCAGGAGUAUUUUAUUAAUACGCAAACAUUUUC
rnacentral:lncRNA from 1 species